rnacentral:rRNA from 1 species
UACGUAGGGUGCGAGCGUUGUCCGGAAUUAUUGGGCGUAAAGAGCUUGUAGGCGGUCUGUCGCGUCUGCUGUGAAAAUCCGGGGCUCAACCCCGGACUUGCAGUGGGUACGGGCAGACUAGAGUGGCGGUAGGGGAGAUUGGAAUUCCUGGUGUAGCGGUGGAAUGCGCAGAUAUCAGGAGGAACACCGAUGGCGAAAGGCAGAUCUCUGGGCCGUAACUGACGCUGAGGAGCGAAAAGCGUGGGGAGCGAACAGG